rnacentral:rRNA from 1 species
GACGAACGCUGGCGGCGUGCUUAACACAUGCAAGUCGAACGGAAAGGCCCUGCUUUUGUGGGGUGCUCGAGUGGCGAACGGGUGAGUAACACGUGAGUAACCUGCCCUUGUUUUUGGGAUAACUUCAGGAAACUGGGGCUAAUACCGGAUAGGAGCCCCUGCUCCAUGGUGGGGGUUGGAAAGUUUCGGCGGUUGGGGAUGGACGCGCGGCUGAUCAGCUUGUUGGUGGGGUAGUGGCUUACCAAGGCUUUGACGGGUAGCCGGCAUGGGAGGGUGGCCGGCCACAAUGGGACUGAGGUACGGACCAGACUCCUACGGGAGACAGUAGUGGGGAAUAUGGCACAAUGGGCGGGAGCCUGAUGCAGCAACGCCGCGUGCGGGAUGACGGCCUUCGGGUUGUAAACCGCUUUCGCCUGUGACGAAGCGUGAGUGACGGUAAUGGAUGAAGAAGCACCGGCUAACUACGUG